rnacentral:rRNA from 1 species
GAUGAACGCUGGCGGCGUGCCUAAUACAUGCAAGUCGAGCGAACAGACGAGGAGCUUGCUCCUCUGACGUUAGCGGCGGACGGGUGAGUAACACGUGGAUAACCUACCUAUAAGACUGGGAUAACUUCGGGAAACCGGAGCUAAUACCGGAUAAUAUAUUGAACCGCAUGGUUCAAUAGUGAAAGACGGUUUUGCUGUCACUUAUAGAUGGAUCCGCGCCGCAUUAGCUAGUUGGUAAGGUAACGGCUUACCAAGGCAACGAUGCGUAGCCGACCUGAGAGGGUGAUCGGCCACACUGGAACUGAGACACGGUCCAGACUCCUACGGGAGGCAGCAGUAGGGAUUCUUCCGCAAUGGGCGAAAGCCUGACGGAGCAACGCCGCGUGAGUGAUGAAGGUCUUCGGAUCGUAAAACUCUGUUAUUAGGGAAGAACAAAUGUGUAAGUAACUAUGCACGUCUUGACGGUACCUAAUCAGAAAGCCACGGCCAACUACGUG